rnacentral:lncRNA from 1 species
GAUGAGCGGUGUCGGCGAGCUUCUGUCGGGUUCCACGAGGUGCGCGGCGAAGGGUCAUCUGUUCAUUCGGUUCCACAGUUGCAUAUAAGAGACGGGGUGACGAAUGCUGAUGUGUGUAUAUGUGUUCUGCUAAGUUAAAUAGGGCCAAAAAUUGUAGUGGCCGCAAAGCUUUGGUGAACUGAUCAAUUGAAUUGUAUGGCUGUAGUAAAUUAAAUGUAUGAGUUACAUAAUUAUGCUUGGGUGAAAUGGAGGGGAUGCUGUUGGUCAGAUGAUCUAGCAUUGUUUUGCUGACCCCUCUGUUGUUGCUGGAAGCAAGUUGCUGAGCUGAUUCAUUUUGAUCUUUAGUGCUAGCUAGAGACCAUAUGAAUCAGAAGACUUUGUACAACUCCGUAGGGCAUGCUACGGCAACACAACCUACGCUUGCUGCUUGCUGCUUGCUGGUUUCUUCAUCAUCUAAUCCACAAUAUAUCGAAUGAAACUGCUUCAGAUUUCUUUUCAGGGAGACUAUUGUUCCACUCACUUGCCACUACUUUUGCAAUGAAGGGGGUUUUAUUAACUCAGACAUGUAGCAUUGAGCGGAAACAAAGCCUACUUUUUCAAUCAAGGGUGUUUUAUUAACUCAAAAUGUAUGUAGCAUCGAGCAGAUACAAAGCAUAUUGAGCGACACGUAGCCUCUACACAGAUAGAUAAGAUGCAUAAAAGCCAAUAGACUGUAGUAAGUUAAAUGUAUGAGUUACAUAAUGAUGCUUGGGUGAAAUGGUGAGGAUGCUGUUGGUCAGAUGAUCUAGCAAUUGUUUUGCUGACCCCUCCUGUUGUUGUUGAGGUUAUUGAAUUCAUGCUCCAACCAACUCAUCCAAAAGUCCGAAACGGAAGUGGGGGCAAGCCGUAAUUAUUUAUUGCGUUUACUGGGUUUUAAACCCCAAGUUUGUGCAUCUAAUCAGUUCACUGGUCAGACCGAACUAUGAGAGAGGGCCGGACAUUAUACUCCAACAAAGCUGAUUCAUUUUGAUCUUCAGUGCUAGCUAGAGACACUAUGAAUCAGAAGACUUUGUACAACUCCGUUGGGCACAGUACGACAACACAACCCACCCUUGUUGCUUGUUGGUUUCUUCAUCAUCUAGUCCACAACAUAUCGAAUGAAACUGCUUCACAUUUCUUUUGAGGGAAACUAUUGUUCCACUCGCUUGCCACUAUUUUUUCAAUG